rnacentral:rRNA from 1 species
AUUGAACGCUGGCGGCAGGCCUAACACAUGCAAGUCGAACGAGUGGCGGACGGGUGAGUAAUGUCUGGGAAACUGCCCGAUGGAGGGGGAUAACUACUGGAAACGGUAGCUAAUACCGCAUACCAUCGGAUGUGCCCAGAUGGGAUUAGCUAGUAGGUGGGGUAACGGCUCACCUAGGCGACGAUCCCUAGCUGGUCUGAGAGGAUGACCAGCCACUGUGGACCUUGGUCACGGUCCAGAUGGCUACUGGGGGCAGCAGUGGGGAAUAUUGCACAAUGGGCGCAAGGCUGAGGCGGCGAUGCCGCGUGUAUGAAGAAGGCCUUCGGGUUGUAAACCGCUUUCAGCCAUGACGCGGUAGUGGCAGAAGAAGCACCGGCUAACUACGUGCCAGCAGCCGCGGUAAUUC